rnacentral:rRNA from 1 species
GUCUACAGCCAUACCACCCUGAACAAGCCCGAUCAUGUCUGAUCUUGGAAACUAAGCAGGGUCGGGCCUGGUUAGUACUUGGAUGGGAGAUCACCUAGGAAGACCAGGUGCUGUAGGUG